UAGCCUAGUGGUUAAGGCUAUGGAUCGCCGAUCCGGGGACGGCGGGUUCGAUUCCCGU
rfam:Aedes albopictus isolate Foshan contig57104, whole genome shotgun sequence.